rnacentral:rRNA from 1 species
GAUGAACGCUGGCGGCGUGCUUAACACAUGCAAGUCGAACGAAGCACUUUAUUUGAUUUCCUUCGGGACUGAUUAUUUUGUGACUGAGUGGCGGACGGGUGAGUAACGCGUGGGUAACCUGCCUUGUACAGGGGGAUAACAGUUGGAAACGGCUGCUAAUACCGCAUAAGCGCACGGCAUCGCAUGAUGCAGUGUGAAAAACUCCGGUGGUAUAAGAUGGACCCGCGUUGGAUUAGCUAGUUGGUGAGGUAACGGCCCACCAAGGCGACGAUCCAUAGCCGACCUGAGAGGGUGACCGGCCACAUUGGGACUGAGACACGGCCCAAACUCCUACGGGAGGCAGCAGUGGGGAAUAUUGCACAAUGGGCGAAAGCCUGAUGCAGCGACGCCGCGUGAGCGAAGAAGUAUUUCGGUAUGUAAAGCUCUAUCAGCAGGGAAGAUAAUGACGG